AUUGAACGCUGGCGGCAGGCUUAACACAUGCAAGUCGAGCGGAGAUGAGGUGCUUGCACCUUAUCUUAGCGGCGGACGGGUGAGUAAUGCUUAGGAAUCUGCCUAUUAGUGGGGGACAACAUUCCGAAAGGAAUGCUAAUACCGCAUACGUCCUACGGGAGAAAGCAGGGGAUCUUCGGACCUUGCGCUAAUAGAUGUGCCUAAGUCGGAUUAGCUAGUUGGUGGGAUAAAGGCCUACCAAGGCGACGAUCUGUAGCGGGUCUGAGAGGAUGAUCCGCCACACUGGGACUGAGACACGGCCCAGACUCCUACGGGAGGCAGCAGUGGGGAAUAUUGGACAAUGGGGGAAACCCUGAUCCAGCCAUGCCGCGUGUGUGAAGAAGGCCUUAUGGUUGUAAAGCACUUUAAGCGAGGAGGAGGCUACUGAGACUAAUACUCUUGGAUAGUGGACGUUACUCGCAGAAUAAGCACCGGCUAACUCUGUGCCAGCCGCCGCAGUAA
rnacentral:rRNA from 1 species